rnacentral:rRNA from 1 species
GCGCGAAAACUUUACCAUGCGGGCAACCGUGAUAAGGAAACCCCGAGUGCCAGCACAGGCUGGCUGUCCGCCAGUGUAAAUAACUGGUGAAGAAAGGGCCGGGCAAGACCGGUGCCAGCCGCCGCGGUAAUACCGGCGGCUCGAGUGGUGGCCACUAUUACUGGGCUUAAAGGGUCCGUAGCUUGAUAUGCAAGUCUUUUGAGAAAUCCGCCGGCUUAACUGGCGGGCGUUCAGGGGAAACUGCAUUUCUAGGGACCGGGAGAGGUGAGAGGUACUGCCGGGGUAGGAGUGAAAUCCUGUAAUCCCGGUGGGACCACCUAUGGCGAAGGCAUCUCACCAGAACGGGUCCGACAGUGAGGGACGAAAGCUGGGGGAGCAAACC